CUGGGGAUGACAACCUAGUAUUCAAGUGGUGUUAGCAAGUGUCAACAAGCAUUUUUGGCGCCGUUGCCGGGGAAACGGUUGCUGAGUUGACUACGAACUAGUUUAAUCAUUUUAUAAAAAAAUAUAUAUAUAUAUAACAAAAAAUAAUAUUUUCCUUUUAUCCUUUGCCUCAUCUCUGCUAUUCUUUCUUCUUAUCUAAUCCUUGAUCUCUGGUCUAUUAUGAAUUCAAACAUGUCUAUCUAUGAAUUUCAUAGACCUAUGGGCACACAUCUCGAACCACCAAAAUCUUCAAAGCCUAUCAUAGCAUCUAGUUUUGAGAUAGACCCAGAAUAUAUAGAAUUUAUUCAAAAACAACCUUUCUCAGGAGAU
rnacentral:lncRNA from 1 species